rnacentral:rRNA from 1 species
AUGAAAGCUCCUGCAAUCAUGAGUGUGUUCCAGAACAGUGUAGCUCAGCAAAUGCCUGCAACUGCUAGACUUCAAGGUGAAAUAGAGCAAUACUUGAAUGAUGGUUUAGUGCCUUACACUGAAAAGUUUAAUGUGUUGGAUUGGUGGAAGGUGGCUGGUACAAGGUAUGCAACCUUAAGGAAAGUUGCAAGAGACAUAUUUGGUAUUCCUGUUACAAUUGUUGCUUCAGAAUCAGCCUUUAGUACAGGUGGUAGAAAGCUCAAAGAGCAUAGAAGCCGAUUGACAUCUGAUAUGGUCGAGGUUUUAAUGUGCUCACAAGAUUGGCUUAGAAACAAGUACAAAGAUGCUUACACAGGAGAAGCUAGCUUCUGGACUUGCCUUCAAGACAUUCAAGAAGGGAUACAGGAUUUGGCGGUUUGA